AAAUUCUGUCCCACCCCUUGGUUUUACAGCCGUUCUUUAAAGGGCUCACAAUGGGCUGUCUUAGAUAACCUCUUUAAUUUCCUUUUUGGGGUCCUUUGGUCUGGGGUGAGAAUAGUGGGUAAAAAGCGGACAGACGACAGACAGACGGGAAACCAUCUGACUGCCCGAUGCUGCAGAGCCCUGGUGCUCAUCGUGUGUGUUCAUGUCCUCAGUCGUCCGUUGUGCAUCCGUUGCUGCAGCUCGUCCCUCAACUACAUGAGAGAAGAAUGAAGAGAUUCAAGGUGACGUACGCAACCCAAACUGCAUGCUGGCUUUGCCGCUCCGGGCCAGGCCCUUCUGCUAACUGUAGCUGGGGCCCUUUGUAAGACACCCUUCUUCAGGGUGACCCUCACAUUCAUCCUCAGUGGUGGCUUUCUGUCACAAGGACAGUGUGUAGGAGAGAAAAUGACUUCCAAAGAGUAUUUGGGCUCAGCGUUGUUAGAGCUUCCCAUCUCCGGUCAACUUGACAAGCCCCAUGGCUUUGUAUCUGUGACAAGGCGGAGGAUCAUGGAAGAAUUCCAGAGUCCGUUUGCUGGUCAAAGUAGGGGAUACUUCUUAUUCAGGCCACGCAAUGGGAAGAGGUCAACAGGCUUCAUUUAAAAUGGAUGUUGACUAAUUUUCCAUCGAAACAGUUCGAUCUACUCACAUUUUGUUUUAAAAAAUGAUCCCUCCUAAAUUUACUCUGUAGCAAAUCCCUGUAUUGUAACAUUCUUCAUGAUAGUUGACAUUGUAAAUGUUUAAUUU